rnacentral:tRNA from 2 species
GCCCCCAUAGCUCAACAGGAUAGAGCGCAGCCCUCCUAAGGCUGAUGUCCCUGUUCGAGUCAGGGUGGGGGCA